GAAAACUGAAAAGAUUCAAUCCACGACAUACUGGAUUUAAUAAGCAUUCCUAAAAAGAGGACAAAAGAGAAAAAAAAAGGGAAAAGAAAAUUAAGAAGAAAGAGGGGGGAAAAAAAAGAAAAGGAGAAAGAAAAAAAAAAAAAAAAGGAAUAGAAAAGACGAACAUCAAGGAAAGCAGCAAAUUGAGGAUUAUUAGCUUUGGAAGUAUCAAGAGCUUUGAGAGCGAUGGGUUGAUUGGCACAAUACAUUGUAUACAUUGUGUGCAUUUGGAACUGGCCCAACUGUAGAGAAAAAAAGAAAUUGAGAAAAGAAAAGAAGAAAAGAUACAAAAAAAAAAAGAGAAAGAAAGAAAGAAAGAAAAGGAAAAAAAAAGAAGAAAUAUACCGUGGAAAGAAAUGUUACACCUAAAGAGUCAAAACGACAUUUAUGGAACUUGCCAGC
rnacentral:rRNA from 1 species